UGGAGUUCGUUGACUGUUAGCCAUGACUUCCAAAACAAGUGGACGCGUUGUUGUGGAUGCGCUAUUGGUCGUUCCAAAUGUUUUCCAUCAUUAAUAGCGUUUCCUCAAACGCGUUGCACUUCUUUAUACAGUAAAUGUAAACCUUAUCCAUCUCCUCAACUAAUUGCACAAUGGCAUCUGGAAGCGGUAAGGAGGCUCCGAAAGAAGGGGACUUCAGGAUGCCUGGCCUUAGAGGAGCAAAUACCACCACGCUUUUCCGAUCUGUCAACCCUGAGUUAGGCCUAACUCACUGGUCACAAUUAUAUUACGGACAAUGAGUCUGCUUGUUCAUCGGUAUCGUCUGUUAUAUUGUCGAUGCAAAUUGUGUUUCCUUUACAGAACAAGCCAGUGAUGGCAUUUGGACUUGUGACAAUUUCCUUGUGUGUGGGCUACCUGGGAUACCUUCAUGCCACCAAAGAGAACGACCCGCAGCUGUAUGAAGUUAUUGACAGUGAAGGGGAGGAAAACGUCUAAAUGGGACUGAUCACAUCAGAUGUGCAAUAUAUCCUGAACAUUAUUGUGGUAAAAAUGGCUUUGCCUGAAAGCACUGGAUCUAUGUAAUGACGAUGGUUAUUAAAUAUUGUUACAAUUAGGCAAUAGCUCUUGGAUUCAUUUAUGAAACUAUUGAAAUAACAAUUUACCAUGGAGUAAGGGUAAGAAUGUAAAACUCAUAAAAGCAUAUUGAGCAAUUAGCAUCAAGCAAGGAGCUGAAUACCCAAGUCAUAGACGCGCUACUGAAAACUGACGAUAGUAUUGUAACGACCCUGGGUUUAUGAGCGCGGAUAUCGACUCUGCCGCAUGAGCAUGCUUUUGAGGCACGGUCGAUAGCGCACUGGACUUCGGGCUAGAAAGUCGAGGGUUCGAGACCUGCUCCCUGCUGUUUCAUUACAGUAUCUUCUGAAGGGGGGAGUUUUGUUAAGAGCCUCCGCAGACACUUCGCUUUAAACGUUAACACUCAUCUCUUGGGGUGCGGUAAUGGAAACAAGGAAUGUAUAUUUCAUAUUAGCAGCAUAAAAAAACAUUUAUAAACAAAAGUUUAAAUGACUACACACCUUUGUAGGUUUAGGGUUCCCACACGACCACAUUUCCAUGUUACAGGGCUUUUUUAAAACGGAAAACAAGAGUAGAAUACCUUGUUUAGAAGAACCUAGAAUACCUAAAUUAUAUUUAUGCGUCUCUUAGCACUGUAAACGGCAGAUGGACGCCACAAACGUGUUGUCACUGAAAAAUACGGUCGGCUGCAACUGUUGUUAUAACAGGUUAAAACAGUAUGCCGCAAGUGUGUAUUUUGCAUUUGUGGAAUUAUUUUGAUAUGAAAGUAGAGUACCGCAAUUGAGAAUCGAUUUAUGUUAGAUGGAGUUACUUUAGGCACCAUUAUUGGGCUUAGGAGCUGACCAGGGCGAAAACAUCCCCAGUAAUUGGAAUGUCUCUCAAUGAGCCACGUGCGUUCCAAAUAGCAUCACAAUUGAUUAUUAUUUUUCCUGGCACAUGCAUUUGGAGUCAUAAAUUCUUAGUUGUUUUCUUCAGCAAGGAAACCUUUUUAGUACUUCCAACAAAUCUCUGUAACUAGAUUUGAUUCAAGCAAGAUAUUCCACCCCAUGGGUUGAGUCAAAGCUACAAUAAUUACGUGCUUUGUGAGGUCCACUGUAAAAGCUAAAAUGGACACACUCAAAGAGCAAUGGAAACCCAACGUGGGAACCCUCAAAGCUUCACAGCAUCCUGCCACUCUAUCUAAAGGAGGUCAUAGAUGCACUGCAAGAAAGCGAGAGCCCACAAGCUGUGCUCUCACAGCUUUGUAUGGAGACCCAAUGAAAGAGCUGAAGCAGUUGAGUACUCACUCAAACAUCAUUGGUAUGCCCACUCCUCCUUUACUACAUCCACUCCAUGUAUCAAUGGUAGCAGCCUGUAACAGAUGUUUAAGUGACUGUGUCACAUUGAAUUGCAGAUAUAGGAGAAAACAUACACCAGUAUUACAUGACAGAGUUUCAAAAAGAGAAAGAGGAGUGUAUUAGAGCUGCUACUGAGAAGGCGUGGGGCAAGGUACAAAAAUGUGCUGCUUUUUGUUGUUGAACAUUGCGUUAGGUCUGGACUGCAAUACAUUGCAAGAAGUUUUGUUAAUGAUAUGUCUUGCUUUCAGGCUGACAUGGAAAUUGAGAAAAUAGUGUUACAGACACUUCAGUGGGCCAGAAAGGAGAGAGAGCUCUUGAGGAGGAAAGUGGAAAAUGCAAACUCUUACUUGCAGGGACUUCAUGCUGCAACCGGAGAAUGCGAAGACUGUGGCCAGCAAGAAAAAAGAUGAGGUACUGGUGGAAGUGAGGGCAGUGAUGAUAUCCAGCAUCACUGGCAACAUCGAGAGAACCCGAAGGGAGGAGAUGGAUAUUGCCCAACGCAACAUAGACAAGGCGGAGGGGCGGUACAGGGCAGAACUAACUACAUUGAAGGAGUCAACUCAAGCACUGGAGACUCUGCUGGACAAGACCAUCAGGGACCUCCGUACAGCUGUAGCCGAUAAGCAAGUAUAUAUGGAUGACCUGGAAGAAACAAGGGCAGCAUUUCAACAUUUCAUCAAUCAGCAGUUUAAAGAAUUGAAGCCUGAUCAAGCUGACUUUAUCCUACCAUCAAAGAAAUGUACAGGUUGAAUGACAAGUGAAUGAAUAGAAGCCCAGAAAAGCAUGCUCUCUUUGGCUCAUCACAAUUGGUCAACUGUAAUAAAUCUGAUUAUCCACAUGAUAUUUGUUUGUGUAAUAAUUGCAGUACUUUUGUCUGUUUGAUAUCUGAUCCUGUGAUUAUGCCAGGCAUCACAAGUACCUGUCAUAUAGGCAGGUCACAUGUUGAUUUCAACAACAAAACUUUGGUAGGUAAAAGUGAAUUUCAUAAUCUGUAAUGCCAGGAAUGAUUUACGUUCUCAUUAGGUUGAACUGUGUUCAUCUCUUUGAAAUAAUCUGUGCGUGCCAUUUAUUGUUCAAUGGUUUAUUUUAUUAGCAUUGCAUGAUCAUGAAUCUCAAAAUAAUAAAAUAUAAAUACAG